UCCUCGAUAGCUCAGCUUGGGUAGAGCCCGUCAGACAUGAAGAAUCUGAAGGUCCCUGGUUCGAUCCCGGGUCGCGGCA
rnacentral:tRNA from 1 species